ACACCUUCUGCUCGGUGCAGUCGUGAUAGGACUUGAAGAUGACGGUUAUCUGCGGGGGAGAUUAAACAGGGAAAUGAACUACCCAUUCUCAUAAAACAACGAGUAUCAGACACUGCUUCUGAACAGGAAGGCUGUUUAUACAACUAACCUUGUUGGUUGCUGUAGCACUGGAGCCUUCAACCACCGGUACGUUUGUGACUUGAACUGAAAGGUAUCGGUUGUGGAUGAGCGGCCAGGCU